GACUAUUUCAACAACAUUUGAAUAUAGAUAUGGUGAUCUAUCCAAGCAUUAUACAUGAUGAACUGGCUAUCUUGCAAGGUCAUCAUGAAAGGGCUCAGUUCCGAAAUGCCCUAUGAACCAGCGUUUCCGUACUAAUACUAGUCAAAAUAACUAAGCCAACAUAGGGCAUACAAAAGCAUCAAAAUGAUCGUCGUUUUCGAAAUACACAAAUAAUGUCCUACUAAAUGCACAAGAGAUUGUCUGAUGCAUUACGUGCUUGACCCUUGGGUUGAAGCAUACGUGUUUGACUGAUUUAAUCUGAUGAGUAUCUGUUUAUCCUUGGUCACAAAAAUCUACCAACAGUUAGUAGAUCACAAUGAUUCAAAUCACAAAUGGCAAUUAGACAAAGUGUUUCAAUAAUUUGCCAAACAAUUGAAAAUGAAUAACCAUAGGGUAGAAAUGAAUUGACUGAAAGGUCGAAGCAAAAUGACCUAAUAGUCUGAACCCGUUUGGCUUUUCAGAUGAAGGUUUAAAAUAUAUAGGUUUAAAGACCCAUAUAUGACGACUACUGAGAUUUUGGCCAUGUGGACUGGCCAGGUCCGACACAACUACUUCUCAGUCACUCGGAAAUACUUUUCCGAACUUGGUAACUCUUGUUCAUUGGCUGCAAAAGGUAUACUUGGUCUAAAAUCACCACUUUCAUUUAAACAUCUUGAACAUGUCCUUGACAAUAUUCUAGAGCUUCUCAAACUUAGAGUCUGCCUCCUAAUUUAAUGCAAUCCCUAAACAUCUUCUAUAGGCGA
rnacentral:lncRNA from 1 species